GGAAGAGGAAGCAACCACUUCCUUAAUGAGUGAAGGAAGACAUCACAAAGGAAUCAGUCUUUCACCUUGGUCUUAGUGGAUGAUUUUCUCAGAAGAGGAGAGGCUGGGCAUCAGAGGUUUUGUGGACAUGAAAGAGGCACAGCAUCUUCAGGGAACUGCAGUUCAGUGUGGUUAGAGUACAGGGGUGUAUGGUGAAAUGGGGGUAUGUUGACAUUAUAUUAAGGUCCUUCUUCAUAUGCCUUACUAUAGAAUUUGAAUUCUGUCCUCAGACCCCUGAAAGUUUUAGGGACUCAUGUAAUACCAUUUCAUUCUCAUAGUAUCAUUUGCGAAUAUACUUGACAUCCCAAAGUCAUAUUAUGAUCCAAGGCAAGAGUUGUGUAGUCUGUUUCUCCAGCCAUUUGUUCAUCCUUCUGCAUAUUUAUUGAACAUUUGCAUGUCAAAACACUUUGGAUAAUAUAAAAAAUACUUA
rnacentral:lncRNA from 1 species